UUCAGACAAAGUGACCAGCAUCAGUGUCAUUUGAACAGUGCGGUUGUGAUCCUACACAACUUGAACACAUACGUUUUGUAUUGAGGACCCCCAGUGAUGACAUAGAGUACAUCACCAUAAUGGCUUCAGUUAUGGACACCCCACCUUGUGGCUGCACAGCGUCAGGGGAUUUUGAAAGCUGAAAGACCCAAGCUUUCGGCAGGAAGUCCCCCAAUCUGCCUUGAAUGGAGGAAAGGCCACAAGGGACAGGGAUUGCAGGGCGCCGUGGAUACCAACCCAGCACGAUAGAGGGCUGCUGAGGGUUUGGAUGGGGUUUGGGUGUGUUGAACAGUUCUGUGUUGAUGACGGCUACCUGCA